UGGGGAAUUUUGGACAAUGGGCGAAAGCCUGAUCCAGCAAUGCCGCGUGUGUGAAGAAGGCCUUCGGGUUGUAAAGCACUUUUGUCCGGAAAGAAAUCCUUGGCUCUAAUACAGUCGGGGGAUGACGGUACCGGAAGAAUAAGCACCGGCUAACUACGUGCCAGCAGCCGCGGUAAUACGUAGGGUGCAAGCGUUAAUCGGAAUUACUGGGCGUAAAGCGUGCGCAGGCGGUUUGCUAAGACCGAUGUGAAAUCCCCGGGCUCAACCUGGGAACUGCAUUGGUGACUGGCAGGCUAGAGUAUGGCAGAGGGGGGUAGAAUUCCACGUGUAGCAGUGAAAUGCGUAGAGAUGUGGAGGAAUACCGAUGGCGAAGGCAGCCCCCCUGGGGCCAAUACUGACGCUCAUGCACGAAAGCGUGGGGGAGCAAACAGGAUUAGAUACCCUGGUAGUCCACGCCCUAAACGAUGUCAACUAGUUGUUGGGGAUUCAUUUCCUUAGUAACGUAGCUAACGCGUGAAGUUGACCGCCUGGGGAGUACGGUCGCAAGAUUAAAACUUAAAGGGAAUUGACGGGGUCAUAGCUGUUUCCU
rnacentral:rRNA from 1 species